UGGGGAAUAUUGCGCAAUGGGGGAAACCCUGACGCAGCGACGCCGCGUGCGGGAUGAAGGCCUUCGGGUUGUAAACCGCUUUUGAUUGGGAGCAAGCUUUCGGGUGAGUGUACCUUUCGAAUAAGCGCCGGCUAACUACGUGCCAGCAGCCGCGGUAAUACGUAGGGCGCAAGCGUUGUCCGGAUUUAUUGGGCGUAAAGCGAGCGCAGGCGGUCAAUUAAGUCUGAUGUGAAAGCCCCCGGCUCAACCGGGGAGGGUCAUUGGAAACUGGUUGACUUGAGUGCAGAAGAGGAGAGUGGAAUUCCAUGUGUAGCGGUGAAAUGCGUAGAUAUAUGGAGGAACACCAGUGGCGAAGGCGACUCUCUGGUCUGUAACUGACGCUGAGGCUCGAAAGCGUGGGUAGCAAACAGG
rnacentral:rRNA from 1 species